rnacentral:misc_RNA from 1 species
UCCGGUUUGUCACCGGCGGUCUCCUUAGAGUUCCCACCAUUACGUGCUGGCAACUAAGGACAAGGGUUGCGCUCGUUGCGGGACUUAACCCAACAUCUCACGACACGAGCUGACGACAGCCAUGCAGCACCUGUGUUCGAGUUCCCGAAGGCACCAAUCCAUCUCUGGAAAGUUCUCGACAUGUCAAGGCCAGGUAAGGUUCUUCGCGUUGCAUCGAAUUAAACCACAUACUCCACCGCUUGUGCGGGCCCCCGUCAAUUCCUUUGAGUUUCAGUCUUGCGACCGUACUCCCCAGGCGGCGAACUUAACGCGUUAGCUUCGAUACUGCGUGCCAAAUUGCACCCAACAUCCAGUUCGCAUCGUUUAGGGCGUGGACUAC